UCCGGUUGAUCCUGCCAGAGGCUACUGCCAUCAGAGUGCGAUUAAGCCAUGUUAGUCGAGGGUACCUCUUCUUCUUCGGAGGAUGAGGCAACCCGGCGGACGGCUCAGUAACACGUGGAUAACUUGCCCUUGGGUCUGGGAUAACCCCUGGGAAGCUGGGGCUAAUACCGGAUAGAGCAUCAGUCGCUGGAAUGCGUGAUGCUCGAAAACUACGGUGCCCAAGGAUAGGUCUGCGGCUGAUUAGGUUGUUGUUGAUGUAAUGGAUCAACAAGCCUACGAUCGGUACGGGUUGUGAGAGCAAUAGCCCGGAGAUGGGUUCUGAGAAAAGAACCCAGGUCCUACGGGACGCAUCAGGCGCGAAAACUUUACAAUGUGCGAAAGUACGAUAAGGGUACUCUGAGUGCCUCCUAAGGAGGCUGUUCUAGUGUCUAAAAAGCACUAGAAGUAAGGGCUGGGCAAGACCGGUGCCAGCCGCCGCGGUAACACCGGCAGCCCAAGUGGUAGCCACGUUUAUUGGGUCUAAAGCGUUCGUAGCCGGCUUGGUAAGUUCCUUGGUAAAUUUGGCCGCUUAACGGUCAAGCUUUCAGGGAAUACUGCUUGGCUUGGGACUGGGAGAGGUCAGAGGUACUCCAGGGGUAGGGGUGAAAUCCAUUAAUCCUUGGGGGACCACCGGUAGCGAAGGCGUCUGACCAGACCAGCUCCGACGGUGAGGAACGAAGGCUAGGGGCGCAAACCGGAUUAGAUACCCGGGUAGUCCUAGCUGUAAACGAUGCGGGCUAGGUGUUGGCAUUACUGCGAGUGGUGCCAGUGCCGAAGGGAAGCCGUUAAGCUCGCCAUCUGGGGAGUACGGUCGCAAGGCUUAAACUUAAAGGAAUUGGCGGGGGAGCACCACAACGGGUGGAGCCUGCGGUUCAAUUGGAUUCAACGCCGGA
rnacentral:rRNA from 1 species